ACUUAAAUAGUUUAAAUUAAAAUGUUAACUUGUGGCGUUUAUGAUGUAAGAGGUUUACUUUAAGUA
rnacentral:tRNA from 1 species